UGUAAAUCCAAACAGCAACGCUCCUGAGUUUGUGUCCCACGUCACCUUCAGUCCGCUCAGAGCAGAGGAAUCAUUUCCAUAGAGAGGAGGCUUUGCAUCGUCAGCUGAUCCUCCACUGAACUGAGAAGCUUUAUAGUCCUGUGACUCCAACUCUGCAGGACUCAGACCCGUCAGUCCACCACAACCACCAUGACUCUCAUCACCCUCCUCAUCUGGACGCUGGCCUGCUGCAGCUUCACAGGAUGCAGCGGCCAGAUGACUGUGACUCAGCCUCCAGUUAUGACAUUUACUCCAGGAUCCACUGUCACACUGAACUGUAACACCAACCCUAGUGUUCAUGGUGAUUAUACGUCCUGGUACCAGCAGAAACCUGGACAGAUUCCCAAGCUUCUUAUAUAUGAUGCAUCAACUCUAUAUUCAGGAACUCCCUCUCGAUUCAGUGGCAGUGGUUCUGGUUCUAGCUUCACCUUAACCAUCAGAGGUGUUCAGGCUGAAGAUGUUGGAGAUUAUUACUGUUUCGGUUAUCAUAGCAGUGGAGUGUACACUUUCGGUGGAGGAACCAAACUCAACAAUAACUUGGGUGUGGUGCGGCCCACCCUGACCCUCCUCCCCCCCUCCAGUGAAGAACUGAAGCAGGGCACUGCCACUCUGGUGUGUAUGGCCAGUGGGGGCUUCCCCUCAGCCUGGAGUCUGGGCUGGAAGGUGGGGGGCAGCAGCAGCUCCUCAGGGGUGUCUCACAGCCCGGGGGUCCUGGGGGGGGGCGGCCACUACAGCUGGAGCAGCACCUUGAGCCUCCCUGCAGACCAGUGGAGGAAGGCGGGCUCAGUGAGCUGUGAGGCCAGUCUGGACGGACAGAGCCCUGUCACUCAAACCCUGGACCCUGUCCUCUGCUCGGAGUAGAGAGAUGACAGCACUUCCUGUCUGACUUGAUGCUGAUUCUUUGAUGAGCUGCACAUUUCUUCUGCUGGGUUUUAGUGUCCAUGUUGCUUUUCAGUAUUGAUCAUCUGCAUAUUCUGCUUUAUCUAAGAAAGUGUUUUAAUUAAACUGACUUUUAUCAGUUUAAUUCUAAUUUUGAACAAACCUACUUAUUCAACAAAAUAUCAUAAUCAUCAUUGAAUAAAACUGUGUGUCACAAUAAA